AAGUCGUAACAAGGUUUCCGUAGGUGAACCUGCGGAAGGAUCAUUACCGAGAUUUUUUCCUGCUUGCAGGAAAUCUCCCACCCUUUUGUGUAACGAAAUUUUGAUAUACUUUGGUAAAGCGCUUGUUGAGCAUACUUGCUAAGCAACCAGUGACUGACUUUUUUUUAUGUUAGUGGCUGUGUCUUUGCCAAAGGACCCCAAAUAUAACUCUAUUUUAUAUAAUUAUUUUGUCUGAGUUUAUAAUUUUUAAAAUAAACAAAACUUUCAACAACGGAUCUCUUGGUUCUG
rnacentral:misc_RNA from 1 species